rnacentral:rRNA from 1 species
UGGGGAAUAUUGCACAAUGGAGGGAACUCUGAUGCAGCGACGCCGCGUGAGUGAUGAAGGAAUUCGUUUCGUAAAACUCUGUUCUAUGGGAAGAAAAGGACUGUACCAUAGGAGAAAGCUCCGGCUAAAUACGUGCCAGCAGCCGCGGUAAUACGUAUGGAGCGAGCGUUGUCCGGAAUUAUUGGGCGUAAAGGGUGCGCAGGCGGCUUAACAAGUUGGAUGUGAAAUAUUGUGGCUCAACCACAAACGUGCAUCCAAAACUGCAAAGCUUGAGUUAAGGAGAGGUAAGUGGAAUUCCUGGUGUAGCGGUGGAAUGCGUAGAUAUCAGGAGGAAUACCGGUGGCGAAGGCGACUUACUGGACUUAAACUGACGCUCAGGCACGAAAGCGUGGGGAGCAAACAGG